rnacentral:rRNA from 1 species
AUUGAACGCUGGCGGCAGGCUUAACACAUGCAAGUCGAGCGGGGAAAGGUAGCUUGCUACCUGACCUAGCGGCGGACGGGUGAGUAAUGCUUAGGAAUCUGCCUAUUAGUGGGGGACAACAUUCCGAAAGGAAUGCUAAUACCGCAUACGCCCUACGGGGGAAAGCAGGGGAUCUUCGGACCUUGCGCUAAUAGAUGAGCCUAAGUCAGAUUAGCUAGUUGGUGGGGUAAAGGCCUACCAAGGCGACGAUCUGUAGCGGGUCUGAGAGGAUGAUCCGCCACAAUGGGACUGGAACACGGCCCAGACUCCUACGGGAGGCAGCAGUGGGGAAUAUUGGACAAUGGGCGAAAGCCUGAUCCAGCCAUGCCGCGUGUGUGAAGAAGGCCCUUUGGUUGUAAAGCACUUUAAGCGAGGAGGAGGCUACCGAGAUUAAUACUCUUGGAUAGUGGACGUUACUCGCAGAAUAAGCACCGGCUAACUCUGUGCCAGCCGCCGCGGUAACAC